CGGAGAGGGCGCAUGAGAAACGGCUACCACAUCUACGGAUGGCAGCAGGCGCGCAAAUUACCCAAUGCAGACACUGUGAGGUAGUGACGAGAAAUAAUAAAGCGGGACUUCUGUUUCGCUAUUAUAAUGAGGAAUAACCAAAGGUCAUUCCGAUUAGCAACUGAUGGGAAAGUCUGGUGCCAGCAGCCGCGGUAAUACCAGCGUCAGUAGCAUAUAUUAAAAUUGUUGCAGUUAAAACGUCCGUAGUCUGUACGUCGUCCCAAACUCACUGCAGUCUUCCGUUUUCUUAAUUGAAUGCGGUAGUUUCUGCAGUCACUCCCUUGAUCAAAUUAGGUUGUUCAAGGUAGACCAAGUCUUCAUAUUUUCACAUGGAAUUGGGUGAGGGAACUUAAGAGUUUAAGUUUCUCGUCUUAGGAUCAUCCGGGGUCAUUCGUACUCGUCCGCGAGAGGUGAAAUUCUUGGACCGGACGAAGACGACCAGCAGCGAAAGCAUCUGUCAGGGAUGUUUUCUGCGACAAAGGACGAAGGUCAGGGUAUCGAAGACGAUUAGAUACCGUCGUAGUCCUGACUGUAAACUAUGCCAACUUGGGUCUUGCUGGGCGAUGCUUUGUGAGACCCACACAGAAAUGAAAGUGUAUGGGUUCUGGGGGUAGUAUGGACACAAGUCUGAAACUUGAAGGAAUUGACGGAAGAGCACCAUAAGACGUGGAGCUUGCGGCUUAAUUUGACUCAACGCGGGAAAACUUACCAGGUCAAGACAUGGGCGUGAUUGACAGGCUAAUGACUUUUCUCGAUUCCAUGGAUGGUGGUGCAUGGUCGCACUUAGUUGGUGCAGUGAUUUGUCAGGUUUAUUCCGGUAACGAACGAGACCUCGGCCUUGUAAAUAGCUAUGCUGCUUACAGGGACAUUGGCGGCUACGCCAAGGAAGCUCGAGGCAAUUGCAGAUCUGGAAUGCCCUUAGAUGUCCUGGGUCGCACGCGUGCUACAAUGACGCCACGAACGAGCUUGCAUGAUGAAAGUUAUGCAUAAUCAGCAGUCGGCGUCUUAAGGGAUAGUCUCUUGUAACUGUGGGACUCCAACUAGGAAUGUCUCGUAAGCACAAGUCAACAUCUUGUGUUGAUUACGUCCCUGCUCUUUGUACACACCGCCCGUCGCUCCUACCGAUCGUGUGUUUAGGUGAAUUUGAUGGACGUAAGGAAGUCAAAUAAACCUGAGCACUUAGAGGAAGGAGAAGUCGUAACAAGGUAGCCGU
rnacentral:rRNA from 1 species